rnacentral:rRNA from 4 species
AAAUUGAAGAGUUUGAUCAUGGCUCAGAUUGAACGCUGGCGGCAGGCCUAACACAUGCAAGUCGAACGGUAACAGGAAGCAGCUUGCUGCUUCGCUGACGAGUGGCGGACGGGUGAG